AAAAAUUAUAGCUAAAAUUGUUUUCAUCAAAAAAACAGAAAAAGGACCAAAAUAUAAUGAUCAAAAAAGUUUUCUCUUGUAAAUAAAAAUGCAAAAAACAAUGCAUCCUUAGUUUCCUCUUUUCCUCACUCUUAAAAUUAUAAAUGGAAUCAUCCUUAGCUAAAAUUAUGUUCUGAUUUGGAAAUGAUUUGUAAUCCUUCGAAUUUUGAUAUUUGAUAACUAUUGCUCACCGGGGAAGUGAGGAAGCU
rnacentral:lncRNA from 1 species